rnacentral:rRNA from 1 species
CAAUAGCGUAUAUUAAAGUUGUUGCAGUCAAAAAGCUCGUAGUUGGAUUUCUGGUGGGAGCGAUCGGUCUGGCGCUUAGCGCGAGUACUUGCAUCGUCUCCGGCCAUCCUUGGGGAGAGUCUGUCUGGCAUUAAGUUGUCGGGCAGAGGAUCCUCAUCGUUUACUGUGAAAAAAUUAGAGUGUUCAAAGCAGGCUUAUGCCGUUGAAUAUAUUAGCAUGGAAUAAUAAGAUAGGACUUUGGUACUAUUUUGUUGGUUUGCGCACCAAAGUAAUGAUUAAUAGGGACAGUUGGGGGUAUUCGUAUUCCGUUGUCAGAGGUGAAAUUCUUGGAUUUACGGAAGACGAACUACUGCGAAAGCAUUUACCAAGGAUGUUUUCACUAA